rnacentral:rRNA from 1 species
GUAUUGAUUGGUGCUUGCAUCAUGAUUUACAUUUGAGUGAGUGGCGAACUGGUGAGUAACACGUGGGAAACCUGCCCAGAAGCGGGGGAUAACACCUGGAAACAGAUGCUAAUACCGCAUAACAACUUGGACCGCAUGGUCCGAGCUUGAAAGAUGGCUUCGGCUAUCACUUUUGGAUGGUCCCGCGGCGUAUUAGCUAGAUGGUGGGGUAACGGCUCACCAUGGCAAUGAUACGUAGCCGACCUGAGAGGGUAAUCGGCCACAUUGGGACUGAGACACGGCCCAAACUCCUACGGGAGGCAGCAGUAGGGAAUCUUCCACAAUGGACGAAAGUCUGAUGGAGCAACGCCGCGUGAGUGAAGAAGGGUUUCGGCUCGUAAAACUCUGUUGUUAAAGAAGAACAUAUCUGAGAGUAACUGUUCAGGUAUUGACGGUAUUUAACCAGAAAGCCACGGCUAACUACGUGCCAGCAGCCGCGGUAAUACGUAGGUGGCAAGCGUUGUCCGGAUUUAUUGGGCGUAAAGCGAGCGCAGGCGGUUUUUUAAGUCUGAUGUGAAAGCCUUCGGCUCAACCGAAGAAGUGCAUCGGAAACUGGGAAACUUGAGUGCAGAAGAGGACAGUGGAACUCCAUGUGUAGCGGUGAAAUGCGUAGAUAUAUGGAAGAACACCAGUGGCGAAGGCGGCUGUCUGGUCUGUAACUGACGCUGAGGCUCGAAAGUAUGGGUAGCAAACAGGAUUAGCCCC